GAUGAACGCUGGCGGCGUGCUUAACACAUGCAAGUCGAACGGAAAGGCCCAGCCUUGCUUGGGUACUCGAGUGGCGAACGGGUGAGUAACACGUGAGUAACCUGCCCUGGACUUCGGGAUAAGCCUGGGAAACUGGGGCUAAUACCGGAUAGGACCAUCGCCUGCAUGGCGGGGGGGGAAGAGUUUUGGCGGUUGGGUAUGGUCGCGGGGCAUCUGAGUUUGUUGGGGGGGUUGGGGCAUAAAGGGGUUGUCGGGGAUUGCGGGCGUGAGGGGGUGAGGGGCCACAGGGGGACAGAGAUGCGGCCGAGACUCCUGCGGGGGGGAGGUGUGGAGAAUUGUGCACAGUGGGCGGGAGCCUUAUGCAGCAGCGCCGCGUGCGGGAUCGCGGUCUUCGUGUUGUAAACCGUUUUCGCCGGAGGCGGCGCUUGUGUGACGGUAAUUGGUGAAGAAGCACCGGCUAACUACGUG
rnacentral:rRNA from 1 species